UGGAAUGGACAGAGCUUUCACUGAAAUGACUCAGGAUAGAAGAGAAGGAAUCGCAAGAGUCCUGCUGAAAUACCUGAGGAAAUCUGUGCACCUCAUCAAUGGACCAGCUUGCAGGCAGGACAUCCACGAUGACAAUGACUGGCUUGCAAUCAACCUGGGUUCAUACUCCGAGUACACAACCUAUUCGGAUCUCAAAGACUUCAACAUCUCAGGGGUGGCAGUUCUAGACUCCCUCUCACCAAACCAGAAAGCUGAAUUGAUACUGGACCCAAGCACUGGCGCUCUGGAGAAUGAGACUCUUGUGAAGAAC